GAUGAACGCUGGCGGCGUGCCUAAUACAUGCAAGUCGAGCGAACAGACGAGGAGCUUGCUCCUCUGACGUUAGCGGCGGACGGGUGAGUAACACGUGGAUAACCUACCUAUAAGACUGGGAUAACUUCGGGAAACCGGAGCUAAUACCGGAUAAUAUAUUGAACCGCAUGGUUCAAUAGUGAAAGACGGUUUUGCUGUCACUUAUAGAUGGAUCCGCGCCGCAUUAGCUAGUUGGUAAGGUAACGGCUUACCAAGGCAACGAUGCGUAGCCGACCUGAGAGGGUGAUCGGCCACACUGGAACUGAGACACGGUCCAGACUCCUACGGGAGGCAGCAGUAGGGAAUCUUCCGCAAUGGGCGAAAGCCUGACGGAGCAACGCCGCGUGAGUGAUGAAGGUCUUCGGAUCGUAAAACUCUGUUAUUAGGCAAGAACAAAUGUGUAAGUAACUAUGCACGUCUUGACGGUACCUAAUCAGAAAGCCACGGCUAACUACGUG
rnacentral:rRNA from 1 species